rnacentral:lncRNA from 1 species
GUCAGAUUGUUCAUUGCUAAAGCUGAGGUUUCAGGAUGUCCCCUUCUGUCUGCUGGCCAAGAAAUUCCAGGGCCAGAGAAGCUUUCAAGAGAAGGCACGCUAGGAAGAGCUGCACACCUAGGUUGAAAAGAAACCGGAAAGAGGAGUCAUCCAUCUACUGAAAAUACAUUUCUCCAGUUAAUUGUGCUCAUGACUUUGGCCUGAGUUGACUCAGAUUCCACCUGGGGAAAGUAUCAAAGGCAAUGAUGGAAAAACUGUAGAGGAGGGGCUGACCUCUGCUAGCUGCCACCUUUUCUGAUCCAACACUACACAUGAGAUGCAAACAUCAUUAGAGACAAAUUCUGGUCUGAGAAUCAACCUCCUUAUUCUCUGAUUGGGAAAACGGAGCCUCUCUGAGGUUUAAUUGAACUGAUGAAAGCUGGAGCUGCACCCAGACCUUCUGGCUCCUUGUCUGGGUCCAUCCUUGAGGAGCACUACCCUGGCACUCCUAUGUCUCCACCUUCUUUGAUGACUUCUCUUCCUCAUCAGGAAUGGGCAUUCCCCAAUAUUCCAUCUUUGACGCUCCUUCAUCCUCUAUAAAAUCCAAGCCUAUCCUUUCUUAUAACUUUAGCUACCACCACUUCUAAGCCCAAAUCUUUAUUACCAGUUCUUCCAAGUCCCAAACUCAUUUUGUUUAACCUCAUGCUGAACGUUUCCAACUGUGUGUAUCACCGUUUCUUCAAACACAACGUGACUAAAGCAGAAUUCAUAUCAUAAGUAAGAGCCCUCCCCAUGAACUCUCCUUUUCCACACCAGCUGUCUUCUUUUUCCUCCCAGUGUCUACAUCUCUGUUAUUGGUACCACCAUCCUUGAAAGAACAAUUUCUAGAAUCAAGCCCUUAUUCCUCCAGUGACAUGGACAAGGGAACCAGCAGAAAUAAUAAAUACCA